GCCGGCUCCCCGGUCUCCUGGGGAGCGAAGGGAGCCUGAAGAGCUGGUCCUUAUACAGCUUUCUGAAAUCCCUGAGAUCUGUCAAUGAAUCGCGCAUCUUUCACUCCACAAGUAUUUGUUGAACGUCAUUGUGAUCAUGCUGGCUGCUGUGUGGAGAAAAGACCGAGGGGAAGUAAAAGAACAAAGAACAAAAGAGAACAUGAUGGCUUGGAUCAAGAAUCACCAUUAGCUCCCUUCUGAUGAAGCAGGAGUUGACUCAGCUGGGCUUUCAGCUGGACACGGAAAGCGGAGGUAGAUGAAUUGUCAUGAUCAAGUGGGUGUCAUCAAGUACUUAGAAAGGUUUCAUUUUGUUCCUACUGUCUUUCCAACUUACUAAUAAAAAUAUUGAAAUCUA